GUUGAUGUAUUUCAAUGGUAGAAGGCUGCUCUCAUAAGGCAGUAGUUGAAAGUUCGAGUCUUUCCAUCAGCA
rnacentral:tRNA from 1 species